rnacentral:rRNA from 1 species
GUGGGGAGCAAACAGGAUUAGAUACCCUGGUAGUCCACGCCCUAAACGAUGAGUACUAAGUGUAGCCAGAAGGCUGUGCUGAAGUUAACGCAUUAAGUACUCCGCCUGAGUAGUACGUACGCAAGUAUGAAACUUAAAGGAAUUGACGGGAUCCCGCACAAGCGGUGGAGCAUGUUGUUUAAUUCGACGAUACGCGAAGAACCUUACCAGGUCUUGACAUACUCGGCAAAUCUAUAGAGAUAUAGAGGAGGUUAACCGGGAUACAGGUGGUGCAUGGUUGUCGUCAGCUCGUGUCGUGAGAUGUUAGGUUAAGUCCUGCAACGAGCGCAACCCUUAUUGCUAGUUACCAUCAUUAAGUUGGGGACUCUAGCGAGACUGCCGGUGAUAAACCGGAGGAAGGCGGGGAUGACGUCAAAUCAUCAUGCCCUUUAUGACCUGGGCUACAAACGUGCUACAAUGGCUGACACAAAGAGAAGCGAGCUCGCGAGAGUAAGCAAACCUCAGAAAAGCAGUCUCAGUUCGGAUUGAAGUCUGCAACUCGACUUCAUGAAGUUGGAAUCGCUAGUAAUCGCGAAGCAGAGUGUCGCGGUGAAUACGUUCCCGGGAUUUGUACACACCGCCCGUCAAACCAUGAGAGUUUGUAAUACCCGAAGCCGGUGGCCGAACCGCAAGGAAGGAGCCGUCUAAGGUAGGACAGAUGAUUGGGGUUAAGUCGUAACAAGGUAUCCCUACGAGAACGUGGGGAUG